UUUGAAACAUCGGUUCUCGUAAGAUCACCGAAGUUAAACCACGUCGAGCCUGGUCAAUACUUGGAUGGGUGAUCGCUUGCGUAUACCACG